rnacentral:rRNA from 1 species
GACGAACGCUAGCGGCGUGCUUAACACAUGCAAGUCGAACGGAAAGGCCCUGCUUUUGUGGGGUGCUCGAGUGGCGAACGGGUGAGUAACACGUGAGUAACCUGCCCUUGACUUUGGGAUAACUUCAGGAAACUGGGGCUAAUACCGGAUAGGAGCUCCUGCUGCAUGGUGGGGGUUGGAAAGUUUCGGCGGUUGGGGAUGGACUCGCGGCUUAUCAGCUUGUUGGUGGGGUAGUGGCUUACCAAGGCUUUGACGGGUAGCCGGCCUGAGAGGGUGACCGGCAACAUUGGGACUGAGAUACGGCCCAGACUCCUACGGGAGGCAGCAGUGGGGAAUAUUGCACAAUGGGCGGAAGCCUGAUGCAGCAACGCCGCGUGCGGGAUGACGGCCUUCGGGUUGUAAACCGCUUUCGCCUGUGACGAAGCGUGAGUGACGGUAAUGGGUAAAGAAGCACCGGCUAACUACGUG